GGGGAAUCUUGCACAAUGGGGGAAACCCUGAUGCAGCGACGCCGCGUGAACGAUGAAGCCCUUCGGGGUGUAAAGUUCUUUCGACAGGAACGAUAAUGACGGUACCUGGAGAAGAAGCUGCGGCUAACUACGUGCCAGCAGCCGCGGUAAUACGUAGGCAGUGAGCGUUGUUCGGAGUUACUGGGCGUAAAGAGUGCGUAGGCGGCGAGCCAAGUUUGGUGUGAAAUCUCCCGGCUUAACCGGGAGGGUGCGCCGAAAACUGGUUGGCUGGAGUAUGGGAGAGGAAAGCGGAAUUCCUGGUGUAGCGGUGAAAUGCGUAGAUAUCAGGAGGAACACCUGCGGUGUAGACAGCUUUCUGGACCAAAACUGACGCUGAGGCACGAAAGCGUGGGUAGCAAACA
rnacentral:rRNA from 1 species